UUCACGGUGAUUAGAGGCUAGGGAAUGUGUGCGUCAGGGGACGUACCCAGGCAGUUGAAGACUAGAGUGAAGUGAGAGUCAUCUUCACCUUGUUUUCAGUGUUUGUGGGGAUACUUUAUGCACCUUUAAGUUCUUAAACACCCAAUGUAACAUGCUGGUUGGUCGUAUAACAUAGCUACAAGGUGUACGGUAGUGUCACUGUAACCGUAUGAACUUUUAGCCAGGCAAUUCCAGUACAGGAAACCUGUGGGUCCAACCAGAAGUAUUCCUCACUCUCCAUACAUUUCCGCAGAAUAUUGCAUUUUAAACAAUUGUGACGCUCUAAAGAGAAUGUGACGUUAAAUAACAAUAAAAACUAUGAAUAUGAAAUAAUUGAUACAGAACAUAUAUUUCAUUGCAUAUGUCAACAGAAUAUAGCUAUAAACGCGGAAGAGAAGUUUUGAAAUUGAAAUUGCGAGAGUAGAAUCCAUAAUAUGACGAAGGAAUCUCCAAGCGUUAUAAUUAACAACAAAUUGAACAAGUUCAUCAAAGGAUGCAAACCAAUUUUGACAAAUCAAAUCAAUAAUAUAUUCUCCAUUGUUCACAUCUUGCCAACGUUCCGCUAGCUUGUCAAUGCCUUUACGACAGAAAUAACCGGCCUUUGACUCGAAGAAUUCAUUGAACCAGUUUCCAGCUCCACGACGUUGUUGAACGAAAUGCCUCAUAGACAGCUGGAAAGUAACCGAAAAAGAUGGUAGUUUGAAAGCGCUGCAUCAGGAGAAUACGAUUAUGUGGAAAAUUACGAGAAAGAGAGAGAGAGAGAGAGAAGUUUGCCUUGAAACAACCCUGUUUUUGGAGACUGUAAUUAAAUCUAAACGGAAAUAUAUGGGAAAAGAACACGCCUGGUAGGCAUUCUUCAGCUGAAAUAAAAUUAACUCGAAAUUUCAGAUUGAGAAAUAAAAAUACGAAACGAGCAACGGCAUGAGAAUAAAACAAAAAAUACACAAUCACCCAAAAAAAUUACAACCGUAAAUGAAUGAAUGAGUCAAUAUAAAAAUAAGCAAAUAAAUAAAUUAACAAUAUACCAAAUGCACUAAAAACAAGAACUACAAUUCUGUUGGAAUUCAAUUAAAAUGUGAAACGAGGAGGAAGUUUUAAAAAAAGCGGAUGUUUUAUAAAAUUGUAUUAGUUACCAGCAAUAACUAAAUUCAACGAAAGAAAAUAAUGAGAAAAUAUAACAAACAGACAGUUCAACAUUGAAAUAGAUAACAAU